rnacentral:rRNA from 1 species
AGAGUUUGAUCCUGGCUCAGGAUGAACGCUGGCGGCGUGCUUAACACAUGCAAGUCGAACGAUCCUUCGGGAUAGUGGCGGACGGGUGAGUAACGCGUGGGAAUCUGCCCUCAGGAGGGGGAUAACGGCUGGAAACGGCCGCUAAUACCCCAUAUGCCGAGAGGUGAAACGAAUUUCGCCUGAGGAUGAGCCCGCGUCUGAUUAGCUAGUUGGUGGGGUAUAGGCCUACCAAGGCGACGAUCAGUAGCUGGUCUGAGAGGAUGAUCAGCCACACUGGGACUGAGACACGGCCCAGACUCCUACGGGAGGCAGCAGUGGGGAAUUUUCCGCAAUGGGCGAAAGCCUGACGGAGCAACGCCGCGUGAGGGAUGAAGGCCUCUGGGCUGUAAACCUCUUUUCUCAAGGAAGAAGAACUGACGGUACUUGAGGAAUAAGCCACAGCUAAUUCCGUGCCAGCAGCCGCGGUAAUACGGGAGUGGCAAGCGUUAUCCGGAAUUAUUGGGCGUAAAGCGUCCGCAGGCGGCCUUGUAAGUCUGUUGUUAAAGCGUGGAGCUCAACUCCAUUUAAGCAAUGGAAACUACAAGGCUGGAGUGUGGUAGGGGCAGAGGGAAUUCCCGGUGUAGCGGUGAAAUGCGUAGAUAUCGGGAAGAACACCAGUGGCGAAGGCGCUCUGCUGGGCCAUAACUGACGCUCAUGGACGAAAGCCAGGGGAGCGAAAGGGAUUAGAUACCCCUGUAGUCCUGGCCGUAAACGAUGAACACUAGGUGUCGGGGGAAUCGACCCCCUCGGUGUCGUAGCCAACGCGUUAAGUGUUCCGCCUGGGGAGUACGCACGCAAGUGUGAAACUCAAAGGAAUUGACGGGGGCCCGCACAAGCGGUGGAGUAUGUGGUUUAAUUCGAUGCAACGCGAAGAACCUUACCAGGGUUUGACAUCCUGCGAAUCCCUUGGAAACGAGGGAGUGCCUUCGGGAGCGCAGUGACAGGUGGUGCAUGGCUGUCGUCAGCUCGUGUCGUGAGAUGUUGGGUUAAGUCCCGCAACGAGCGCAACCCACGUCUUUAGUUGCCAGCAUUCAGUUGGGCACUCUAGAGAGACCGCCGGUGAUAAACCGGAGGAAGGUGUGGAUGACGUCAAGUCAUCAUGCCCCUUACAUCCUGGGCUACACACGUACUACAAUGCUACGGACAAAGGGCAGCAAGCUCGCGAGAGUUAGCAAAUCCCAUAAACCGUGGCUCAGUUCAGAUCGUAGGCUGCAACUCGCCUACGUGAAGGAGGAAUCGCUAGUAAUCGCAGGUCAGCAUACUGCGGUGAAUACGUUCCCGGGCCUUGUACACACCGCCCGUCACACCAUGGAAGUUGGCCAUGCCCGAAGUCGUUACUCCAACCCUUGUGG